GCCGUGUCGUUCAGCGCAAAGAAAAUGGCUGCCGAUGUCAAAGAAACAGCUGUGUGUGUGUGGUCGCCCGUAAUACGUCGCAAUUACUGCAAGGUGGGGAUGGUUACUGUCGGCUAAGAAGAGUAUUAGACUCUGCGAUCUUUCCGGAAGCCGCGCAAUCUGCUGAACCGAGGUGAGUAGAAACGUGUCGUGCCGUGGUGUGUGUUCUCGGCUGCAUGCAUCCGUCUGACGAGUUUCUUUUUUUUUAUCUGUAGCGACGCAACGGAGAAGAAAUCCGAAUGACUGUGAAGCGCUACAUAGUCAACAAGAUGCGAUUGAGAACUCACGAAGCAGCGAGUACCGUUUGUUGGGGCAUCGCCACCGCAAAGCGUCACUUCAUGAACGCGGUGCGCUGCAUCGUGCAUCGACAGUACUCCGUUGCUCAAGCUACCAUGCCGAUCCGCGAAAGCUGCUGCUGCUGCUUCGAUUUCGAAGCGCCACGGGUGGCGGCAGGGUUGGCGGCGUUGACGGCCGCGUCUUGGACAUCCUUGAGAGGACCGGCGCAGUCGUCACCACCCCGCCAGAGUAUUACCCCGUUCCCGACGUGGAGACUGAGGUCGAGGUGGGAACCUCCCGUGCAGUUCAACGGGGGCCGAGCGACGUUGACC